UUAAAGUUGUUGCAGUUAAAAAGCUCGUAGUUGGAUCUAGGGACGCGCAUUCACAAGCGUCGCGCGUCGUCGGGUCAAACCGGCGGCGCGUCGGCGUUGGGGCUCGGUCCGCUGGAGGACCAGCGUGUCAACCGGACGCCCGUCCCCUCCUUCUGGAUUCCCGUUCCUGCCAUUGAGUUGGUGGGGACGUCACAGGGGGCCGCGCGUCGGCGGUCAAGCACCGGCGUGCGGUGGCCUGGGGCCCAGAUCGUUUACCGUGAAGAAUUAGAGUGCUCAGCAGGCAGACAUCAACCAUCUGCCACCGAAUACAUUAGCAUGGGAUAAUGGAAUAGGACCCUGUCCUCCUAUUUUCAGUUGGUGUUCGAGGACCAGGGUAAUGAUUAAUAGGGAUAGUUGGGGGCAUUAAUAUUUAAUUGUCAGAGGUGAAAUUCUUGGAUUAUGAAAGAUUAACUUCUGCGAAAGCAU
rnacentral:rRNA from 1 species